rnacentral:rRNA from 1 species
ACGCUCGACACCUACGGGGGCAGCAGUAGGGAAUUUUCGUCAAUGGGGGGAACCCUGAACGAGCAAUGCCGCGUGAGUGAAGAAGGUCUUCGGAUCGUAAAGCUCUGUUGUAAGAGAAAAACGGACUCCAUAGGGAAUGAUGGAGGAGUGAUGGUAUCUUACCAGAAAGCCACGGCUAACUACGUGCAGCAGCCGCGGUAAUCUGAGGCGGGCUGGACAAGGC